rnacentral:lncRNA from 1 species
AUUGAAUGAGUAGUGUUCUAUAGCUCCGAUUUCUUAUUUUAAGGGACUGCGACUGAUCAGUGGUCUCUUCUUGACAAAAAUAUCGAACUGGAGAUUGUGGACAUUAAAAAGCUUCUAAACUUUGUCAUCAAUGAUCAAGAUCAUGGGACGAAGAAUAAAUCAAUAUCUCAUUCGGAGAGUUCAGAAAUGGAGGAACAUAUAGAAGAAGAAAGCGAAGAGCAAGUUGUACAGCUAGAAUUCGAGAGGAUAGUAGCGAAAAUGCGCACACACAAUAUAUACUGUCCAAAUUGCAGUUCUCAGGUUACCAAAGUC